GAUGAACGCUGGCGGCGUGCCUAAUACAUGCAAGUCGAGCGAACGGACGAGAAGCUUGCUUCUCUGAUGUUAGCGGCGGACGGGUGAGUAACACGUGGAUAACCUACCUAUAAGACUGGGAUAAUUUCGGGAAACCGGAGCUAAUACCGGAUAAUAUUUUGAACCGCAUGGUUCAAAAGUGAAAGACGGUCUUGCUGUCACUUAUAGAUGGAUCCGCGCUGCAUUAGCUAGUUGGUAAGGUAACGGCUUACCAAGGCAACGAUGCAUAGCCGACCUGAGAGGGUGAUCGGCCACACGGGAACUGAGACACGGUCCAGACUCCUACGGGAGGCAGCAGUAGGGAAUCUGCCGCAAUGGGCGAAAGCCUGACGGAGCAACGCCGCGUGAGUGAUGAAGGUCUUCGGAUCGUAAAACUCUGUUAUUAGGGAAGAACAUAUGUGUAAGUAACUGUGCACAUCUUGACGGUACCUAAUCAGAAAGCCACGGCUAACUACGUG
rnacentral:rRNA from 1 species